UGCUAGUCUGCUACAGUCUUGUGUUCAGAGAGAAAUUAAUUUAGAUGAACUGCCUUACGAUAAGGUAGUUUAAAUGUGAUGGUUAUAGAUGAUAUUUUAUUUUUCGUUUUUUAUGCUCCUUUUGAGCCGUACACGCUUGUUUUGAGAUGGUCUAAGAUCGUAAAAUACUAUAGUUAGUUUAUGCCCAAAUCUCGGACGAACCCAUUGGCAAAAAAAAUUAGCUUCGCCCCUGCCCAGGAGAUAAGCAAUGCCUAGACGAUGCAGGCAUGCAGCAAGCGAACUAGCGAGGGCUGAUGGAUUAGGAAAGAUUGGCCAUG
rnacentral:lncRNA from 1 species